UACGAAGGGUGCAAGCGUUGCUCGGAAUUAUUGGGCGUAAAGGGUAGGUAGGUGGUGAUAUUUGUCUGGGGUGAAAUCCCUGAGCUUAACUCAGGAAGUGCCUUGGAAACGGUAUCACUAGAGUACUGGAGAGGUUCGUAGAAUUCCUGGUGUAGCGGUGAAAUGCGUAGAGAUCAGGAGGAAUAUCAGAGGCGAAGGCGACGAACUGGACAGUUACUGACACUCAACUACGAAAGCGUGGGGAGCAAACAGG
rnacentral:rRNA from 1 species